rnacentral:rRNA from 1 species
UACGAAGGGGGCUAGCGUUGUUCGGAAUUACUGGGCGUAAAGCGUGCGCAGGCGGCUUCUCAAGUCAGGGGUGAAAGCCCAGAGCUCAACUCUGGAACUGCCUUUGAGACUGAGAGGCUUGAGUACGGGAGAGGUGAGUGGAAUUCCCAGUGUAGAGGUGAAAUUCGUAGAUAUUCGCAAGAACACCAGUGGCGAAGGCGGCUCACUGGCCCGAUACUGACGCUGAGGCACGAAAGCGUGGGGAGCAAACAGG